AUUGAACGCUGGCGGCAGGCCUAACACAUGAAAGUCGAACGAGUGGCGGACGGGUGAGUAAUGUCUGGGAAACUGCCCGAUGGAGGGGGAUCACUACUGGAAACGGUAGAUAAUACCGCAUACCAUCGGAUGUGCCCAGAUGAGAUUAGCUAGUAGGUGGGGUAACGGCUCACCUAGGAGACGAUCCCUAGCUGGUAUGAGAGGAUGACCAGCCACACGGGAAAGGAGACACGGUCCAGACGCCUACGAGAGGCAGCAGUGGGGAAUAUUGCACAAUGGGCUCAAGCCUGAUGCAGCCAUGCCGCGUGUAUGAAGAAGGCCUUCGGGGUGUAAAGUACUUGCAGCGGGGAGGCGUUACCCGCAGAAGAAUCACCGGCUAACUCCGUGCCAGCAGCCGCGGUAAUAC
rnacentral:rRNA from 1 species